UACAGAGGUGGCAAGCGUUGCUCGGAAUCACUGGGCUUAAAGGGCAUGUAGGCGGGCGAGUAAGCGCCUUGUGAAAUCCCCCGGCUCAACCGGGGGAACCGCUCGGCGAACUGCUCGUCUCGAGGGAGACAGGGGCGACCGGAACUCUGGGUGGAGCGGUGAAAUGCGUAGAUAUCCAGGGGAACGCCGGUGGAGAAAUCGGGUCGCUGGGUCUUUCCUGACGCUGAGGUGCGAAAGCCAGGGGAGCGAACGGG
rnacentral:rRNA from 1 species